GUCAACAUAGUUUAAUAAAACACUAGGUUGUGGACCUAGAAAUAGAAGCUAAACUCUUCUUGUAGACC
rnacentral:tRNA from 1 species